GAGGGCAAAGCUACUGCUCUCCCUACCAAGACCCAGAGUCAAGAAGGACUCCCACUGACCAGGCUGCUCCUAAGGAGAAGACAAGAUAGACAGAGAGGGAAUCUCAGAAAACAUGACCCAGAGAAACAUGGUACCUCAGACUGAAAAGGACUUGAGGAAGCUAAGGAUCAUCCAAGCUGCCCUGGCACUCUUGGUUCUUGCCCUGGCUGCCACCCUUAAAGUUGUGGUUAUUCUAUAUCUUCAAGGGAAAAAUGGCCAACUUGAGAGAGCCAAAGUCUCCAAUGCAGCUCUGAAACUUCAAAACCAAAUUCUUGUUCAGAGAAUCUUAGAGCGUAACAUCAUCCACGGUGGAAAUCUCUACUACUUUUCCUGUGACAAAAUGUCUUGGAACAAUGCUGAGCAGUAUUGUGUAUCAAAGGGCUCCCACCUGGCCUCAGUGACUUCAGUGAAAGAACAGAAAUUUCUUUAUGAAAAAGCCAAUGGUACCUAUUAUUGGAUUGGACUGAGUAACCAAAAUGCUUUAGGCUGGCAAUGGACUGAUGGGACCUCAUAUGAUGAAGCCCAAAGCAAAGAGGAGAAGGGCUUAGAAGACUGCAUGGCCCUGGAUGUGAGGAGGAGAGGAAUGCAGCAAUCAUCUGGGCUAUUUCCAGAAGGGAUUAGACAACUAUGUCCCUGAAGCUUGCCUCCUAUGCCCAGUCUUUCUAGGCUCUGGCUGUGGGCUGGGCAGGUUCUGGGCCAAUAAGAGACCAAGCAAUGAAAAAGAAAAUUAUAACUGUGCCCAUUUCUGGGCAAAGACACAAAAAUCAUGGAAUAAUUACAUUUGCACAUUUUCUUUCAAGUUUAUCUGUAAGUGGAACUGUGAGUCAUCUAGGAUGUGCCAAAACACAUAAACAUCUGGCACCUGAAUGCUGCUGACCCCCCCGCCCCAGAAGCAAUGUGGCAGAUGGCAGACAUUGGGCCACCUACCUUGCAUACAAUGGAGUUUAUGGGUGCCAUUUUCCUUUCCAAUAUCAAGUUCCCCCAAAGGAACCUAGAAGUCUAUGUAAUGUCUGAUCACUUGUGCCGAAUGAUAUCCCCAUGCCUUCAGGCAGCCAUAGACCCUCCUUCUUCUCCUAGUCAUCAUUGCUAGAGCAAUCACCCAGACUUGUGCCCUCACCAUUCACUCAUUUCUCCAGGUGCCUCUCACAUGUGCAAUGCAGUUCCUGCCCAGUCUUCUUUCCUCUUCCCCAAUGAGUUGAGGAACAAGUUUGAAGAGAGAGUCCUGACAAGACUUGCUCACUGUCCUGCUCCCCCAAGGAGAACAAAUCCCAAGAUUCCUACCUACUGAUCACUAGGUCUGGAAAUCACAAGAUCCCAGCUCACCUUAGCUCUAAAAUACCCCUCAAGGACAGUCUGGCUCCUCUCUCUGUCCAGAGGCUGGAGGCAAAACUCGGUUACUUUUAUUUCCUACUGGAGAUCCAGGAAGAGGAAGGCAUCCUGUCAGAUUAAAAUGUACAUAAACAAUCAAGAUUCCGUACUGAACAAGGGGAGGUGAGGGUAUGUGAUUCUAUAGAAAGGGUGGUAUUAUAUAUAAUACAUAUAUAUGUAUAUAUGUACAGAUGACAAAUGAUAUUUUGUGUACAUACAUACACAUAUAGAUAGAUAAAUAGAUAUAGAUACAUAAACACUUUGCAAACCAUUAAGUGCUAUAUACAUACAAACCUUUGCUAAUAUCUCAUUUACAUUUUUUAAAUGGCACUUAAACAAUCCUGGGCAGGAGUGUGAUGAGCUGAUUGUUAAAUGUUCACCAUGAGCAUUUACACAUUGGAAAUCGAUAACUCCACAUCAAGACUUGAUUUAUUGUUUUGUUGAUUAUCUAGGCUUAAGAAAGUGCUAAUAAUAUUGAAAUGUAUGUCAUGAGAACAUCUUUUUUCCUGUUUUUGUUAAACAUUUACCAACACACCCUUGGCCCUGGGACAAGUCACCAAAGAUUGCACUAAGUCCCUAAGAACAAGUCAAUAUCCUACUAUUGCUUUUUAAAAAACAUUUGAUGAUCUAUGUGCUAUUGUCCAGGUGGAUAAAAUAGCUGAAUAAAAGAAUUUGGAUAUAAA